GCGAACAAAUGAAAAAGCCGAAUCUGUUCAAGUUAUAAGAAAUUACAGCUACUGGGAUAUUUUCAUUUUAUAUUUUCAUGUGAAGUCGAUAAGAACUCACAUUGCAAUAGGGAUUUGCAGACUUUCUGCCAAAGAGAAAACCCUACAACUACAGAGUGCAACAUUCUGAGGCAUUUGAUUGGAACAACAAGCUGAAGGCAUCUGCUUACUGCCACUGGUGCCUAAAUCCCUGCAUUAUCAAGUCGGCUCAGCAGGAGAAGCAAAGGCAGAUGUACCCAAGGCAGACAAUAAACCUGGAGACGAGGAAGGCAGACUCAUCUACGUAACUACAUACAGAUACUUCAUGAUAGUCAUCACAAUCCCCGGAUCUUCUUAUGUAGAACAUG